AUUGAACGCUGGCGGCAUGCCUUACACAUGCAAGUCGAACGGUAAGGCCCUUCGGGGUACACGAGUGGCGAACGGGUGAGUAACACGUGGGUGAUCUGCCCUGCACUUCGGGAUAAGCCUGGGAAACUGGGUCUAAUACCGGAUAGGACCACUGCCUGCAUGGGUGGUGGUGGAAAGCUUUUGCGGUGUGGGAUGGGCCCGCGGCCUAUCAGCUUGUUGGUGGGGUGAUGGCCUACCAAGGCGACGACGGGUAGCCGGCCUGAGAGGGUGACCGGCCACACUGGGACUGAGAUACGGCCCAGACGCCUACGGGAGGCAGCAGUGGGGAAUAUUGCACAAUGGGCGCAAGCCUGAUGCAGCGACGCCGCGUGAGGGAUGACGGCCUUCGGGUUGUAAACCUCUUUCAGCACCGACGAAGCGCAAGUGACGGUAGGUGCAGAAGAAGGACCGGCCAACUACGUGCCAGCCGCCGCCGUAAUAC
rnacentral:rRNA from 1 species